rnacentral:rRNA from 1 species
UAGGGAAUCUUCCGCAAUGGACGAAAGUCUGACGGAGCAACGCCGCGUGAGUGAUGAAGGUUUUCGGAUCGUAAAGCUCUGUUGUUAGGGAAGAACAAGUGCCGUUCGAAUAGGUCGGCACCUUGACGGUACCUAACCAGAAAGCCACGGCUAACUACGUGCCAGCAGCCGCGGUAAUACGUAGGUGGCAAGCGUUGUCCGGAUUUAUUGGGCGUAAAGCGCGCGCAGGCGGUCUUUUAAGUCUGAUGUGAAAUCUCGCGGCUCAACCGUGAACGGUCAUUGGAAACUGGAAGACUUGAGUACAGAAGAGGAGAGUGGAAUUCCACGUGUAGCGGUGAAAUGCGUAGAUAUGUGGAGGAACACCAGUGGCGAAGGCGACUCUCUGGUCUGUAACUGACGCUGAGGCGCGAAAGCGUGGGGAGCGAACAG